GUGAACGCUGGCGGUAGGCCUAACACAUGCCAGUCGAACGGCAGCACAGUAAGCGCUUGCUCUUACGGGUGGCGAGUGGCGGACGGGUGAGGAAUACAUCGGAAUCUACUUUUUCGUGGGGGAUAACGUAGGGAAACUUACGCUAAUACCGCAUACGACCUACGGGUGAAAGCAGGGGAUCUUCGGACCUUGCGCGAUUGAAUGAUCCGAUGUCGGAUUAGCUAGUUGGCGGGGUAAAGGCCCACCAAGGCGACGAUCCGUAGCUGGUCUGAGAGGAUGAUCAGCCACACUGGAACUGAGACACGGUCCAGACUCCUACGGGAGGCAGCAGUGGGGAAUAUUGGACAAUGGGCGCAAGCCUGAUCCAGCCAUACCGCGUGGGUGAAGAAGGCCUUCGGGUUGUAAAGCCCUUUUGUUGGGAAAGAAAAGCAGCAGGUUAAUACCCCGCUGUUCUGACGGUACCCAAAGAAUAAGCAUCGGCUAACUUCGUG
rnacentral:rRNA from 1 species